GCGGGACAACAUUUGUUAGUUUUUAUAUAAUAAUUUUUAAUUUAUUAUGUAUUUUUAAUUGUUUUAAGAAUAUUUUUCUAAUUUGUUUUGUUUUUUUUGCUAGUAGAACAUAGUUAUAAAUUGUAAAUAUUAUUACUCAAUUUCUAUUUAUAAUAAAGCAUCAUUCAUAAAGCGAUGAAACUUAUCAAUCUCGGUUAGUAUCUCAGCGAAUUAAUAUCUAUAUCUUUUUGUAUGUAUGUCUCUUAUAUAC
rnacentral:lncRNA from 1 species